rnacentral:rRNA from 1 species
GACGAACGCUGGCGGCGUGCCUAAUACAUGCAAGUAGAACGCUGAAGGAGGAGCUUGCUUCUCUGGAUGAGUUGCGAACGGGUGAGUAACGCGUAGGUAACCUGCCUGGUAGCGGGGGAUAACUAUUGGAAACGAUAGCUAAUACCGCAUAAUAGUAGAUGUUGCAUGACAUUUGCUUAAAAGGUGCAAUUGCAUCACUACCAGAUGGACCUGCGUUGUAUUAGCUAGUUGGUGAGGUAACGGCUCACCAAGGCGACGAUACAUAGCCGACCUGAGAGGGUGAGCGGCCACACUGGGACUGAGACACGGCUCAGACGCCUACGGGAGGCAGCAGUAGGGAUUCUUCGGAAAUGGACGGAAGGCUGAACGAGCAACGCCGCGUGAGUGAAGAAGGUUUUCGGAUCGUAAAGAUCUGUUGUAAGAGAAGAACGAGUGUGAGAGUGGAAAGUUCACACUGUGACGGUAUCUUACCAGAAAGGGACGGCUAACUACGUG